rnacentral:rRNA from 1 species
GACGAAGGGGGCUAGCGUUGUUCGGAAUCACUGGGCGUAAAGCGCGUGUAGGCGGUUGCCCAAGUCGGGGGUGAAAGCCUUGAGCUCAACUCAAGAAAUGCACUCGGUACUGGGUGACUAGAGGACCGGAGAGGAUAGUGGAAUUCCCAGUGUAGUGGUGAAAUACGUAGAGAUUGGGAAGAACACCAGUGGCGAAGGCGGCUAUCUGGACGGUUUCUGACGCUAAGACGCGAAAGCGUGGGGAGCAAACAGG